GUAUAGUGAAGUGGGCUUGUGUUAUAUAGAUGGGAUCUCUCUCUUUAUUUAAAAGUCAAUUAGAGAUCUUGAUGCUACUUCUGUCCCUUUCCAAGUGAUUUUACGUCGACCAACUAGCUUUUUUCAUAUGAGUGUAUAUAUUCAUGUACCUAUCUCUCUCAAUUGCUUCUCACCAAAAUCAUCUUGCUGAUUCAUUUGCUGUCUGAAUCCUCUUGCUUUCCUCUUUGCUUUUUCAUUUGUUGAUUUAAACCAUGGGAGUUCCCAACUUUAGACCUCGAAACCGAUAAGGAUCUUUCUCUGCGGUUGAAAUAGCUAGGUUCUCGAUGAAUAGGCUAGCC
rnacentral:misc_RNA from 1 species